CUGACGGAGCAACGCCGCGUGAGGGAUGAAGGCCUCUGGGCUGUAAACCUCUUUUCUCAAGGAAGAAGAUCUGACGGUACUUGAGGAAUAAGCCACGGCUAAUUCCGUGCCAGCAGCCGCGGUAAUACGGGAGUGGCAAGCGUUAUCCGGAAUUAUUGGGCGUAAAGCGUCCGCAGGCAGCCUUUCAAGUCUGCUGUUAAAGUGUGGAGCUUAACUCCAUCAUGGCAGUGGAAACUGUUGGGCUUGAGUGUGGUAGGGGCAGAGGGAAUUCCCGGUGUAGCGGUGAAAUGCGUAGAUAUCGGGAAGAACACCAGUGGCGAAGGCGCUCUGCUGGGCCAUCACUGACGCUCAUGGACGAAAGCCAGGGGAGCG
rnacentral:rRNA from 1 species